UUUAUCCCAACUAAAUUUAAAUUCACAUGUAGCAGUUGGAAAAUGGACAUGUUCUAAAAGGCAUCAUGGCAAUAAGGAAACCAAGAAGAUGUUCUCUCUUCAUUUUUGUUUCCUCUACAUUAUUCUUCUUACCCAAGAGAACACUAAGGCUGCUGAGGUCUUUGAUAGGUGACAGCAACCAGGGUUUAAACACUGGGUUCUAGGAACAUCAUUUUGUUUUACAGUGCUGUUACUAUAGGAGUCACAUCUGCUUCUGCAUUUUUGAGACAAGAGAGAUUUGGGUGGAUUACUUCAAUUUUGCAGGUACUAAAAGUGCUACACCCAUUGUAAUGGAAGAAGAUGCAGUGGCUGCUGAAUGACUCCGAACCCCAAGGCCUUUGAGGGAGAGCCCUCUCACAGGGGUCUGGCAGGCCAACCUCAUCCUGAUACCUGGAAAGGAAGGCCUUCCUGUGUACCACUGCCAUCCCAUCUUCCACCUCCAAGACACACACUGCAGACUGAUUUAAGUAAUUCUGUUUGUACUCCCU
rnacentral:lncRNA from 1 species